rnacentral:rRNA from 1 species
AGCUUGCUUCCUGGUGGCGAGCGGCGGACGGGUGAGUAAUGCAUAGAAAUCUGCCCGGUAGUGGGGGAUAACCUGGGGAAACCCCCGCUAAUACCGCAUACGUCCUACGGGAGAAAGCAGGGGAUCUUCGGACCUUGCGCUAUCGGAUGAGUCUAUGUCGGAUUAGCUUGUUGGUGAGGUAAUGGCUCACCAAGGCGACGAUCCGUAGCUGGUCUGACAGGAUGAUCAGCCACAUCGGGACUGAGACA